rnacentral:lncRNA from 1 species
AACUACCUACCCUAAACCCAACCUAACCCUAAACCCUACCUAACCCUAACCCUACAUAACCCUAAACCCUACCUAACCCUAGCCCUACAUAACCCUAAACCCUACUAACCUUACCUAACCUAAACCCUACCUAACCAAAAACCUUUCUAACCCUAAACCCUUUCAAGCCCUAAAUCCUAUCUAACCCUAAACCCUACUUACACUAAACCCUACUAACCCUAAACCCUACUAACCAUAAACCCAACUAACCCUAAACCCUUUCUAACCCUAAACCCUACCUAACUUUAAACCCUACCUUACCCUAAACCCUACCUAAUUCUAAACCCUACCUAACCCUAAACCCUACCUAACCCUAAACCCUACCUACCCUAAACCCUUUCGAACCCUAAACCCUACCAAACCCUAAACCCCUUCUAACCCUAAACUUGAUCUAACCCUAAACCCUACCUAUCCCUAAAUCCUACCUAACCCUAAACCUUACCUACCGUAAACCCUUUCUGACCCUAAACCCUACCUAACCCUAAACCCCUUCUAACCCUAAACCUGAUCUAACCCUAAACCCUGCCUAACCCUAAACCCUACCUAAUCCUAAACCCUUUCUAGCCUUUAAUCCUACUAACCCUAAACCCUACUAACCUAAACCAUGCUAACCUUAAACCCUACCUAAUUCAAAACCCUACCUAACC